rnacentral:rRNA from 1 species
AACGAACGCUGGCGGCAGGCCUAACACAUGCAAGUCGAGCGAGGACUUCGGUCCUAGCGGCGGACGGGUGAGUAACGCGUGGGAACGUGCCCUUUGCUUCGGAAUAGCCCUGGGAAACUGGGAGUAAUACCGGAUGAGCCCUUUGGGGGAAAGAUUUAUCGGCGAAGGAUCGGCCCGCGUUGGAUUAGGUAGUUGGUGGGGUAAUGGCCUACCAAGCCGACGAUCCAUAGCUGGUUUGAGAGGAUGAUCAGCCACACUGGGACUGAGACACGGCCCAGACUCCUACGGGAGGCAGCAGUGGGGAAUCUUAGACAAUGGGGGAAACCCUGAUCUAGCCAUGCCGCGUGAGCGAUGAAGGCCUUAGGGUUGUAAAGCUCUUUCGGCUGGGAAGAUAAUGACGGUACCAGCAGAAGAAGCCCCGGCUAACUCCGUG